UGCGUAGGUGGUGAGGUAAGUCUGAUGUGAAAUCCCGCAGCUCAACUGCGGAACUGCAUCGGAUACUAUCUUGCUAGAGGGUUUGAGGGGGGACUGGAAUUCUCGGUGUAGCAGUGAAAUGCGUAGAUAUCGAGAGGAACACCAGUGGCGAAGGCGAGUCCCUGGAAAACUCCUGACACUGAGGCACAAAGGCUAGGGGAGCAAACA
rnacentral:rRNA from 1 species